ensembl:snRNA U6 U6 spliceosomal RNA
GUGUUCGCUUCAGUACCACAUAUGCUGAGACUGGAACACUACACUACAGAGAAGAUUGGCAUGGCCCCUUUGUAAGGACAACCCACAAAUUCCUGAAGCAUUCUCUAUCUCU